CCCUUAGAUGUUCUGGGCCGCACGCGCGCUACACUGACUGGUUCAUCGAGCUUACAACCUUGACCGAUAGGUCUGGGUAAUCUUUUGAAAGCCAGUCGUGCUGGGGAUAGAUCAUUGCAAUUUUUGAUCUUCAACGAGGAAUUCCUAGUAAACGCGAGUCAUCAACUCGCAUUGAUUACGUCCCUGCCCUUUGUACACACCGCCCGUCGCUACUACCGAUUGAAUGGCUUAGUGAGCUCUGUGGACUGUUACGCACCGUUGGCAACUUCGGAGCGCGACGGGAAGCAGAUCAAACUUGAUCAUUUAGAGGAAGUAAAAGUCGUAACA
rnacentral:rRNA from 1 species